rnacentral:rRNA from 1 species
AGGAUGAACGCUGGCGGCGUGCCUAACACAUGCAAGUCGAACGUCCUGUCUCGCAAGAGGCAGGGAGUGGCGGACGGGUGAGUACCACGUGGGUCAUCUACCGUGAGGUGAGGAAUACCGGCGAGAAAUCGCCGACAAGACCGCAUAGGCUCGAUGCAAGUCGAGCAAAGCUCUUUCGAGAGAGGGAGCGCCACACGAGGAGCCUGCGCCCGAUUAGCUAGCUGGUGGAGUAACGGUUCACCAGGGCGACGAUCGGUAGCUGGUCUGAGAGGACGAUCAGCCACACUGGAUUGAGAACGGCCCAGACUCCUACGGGGGCAGCAGUGAGGAAUUUUCGUCAAUGGGGGAAACCCUGAACGAGCAACGCCGCGUGCAGGAAGAAGGUUUUCGGAUCGUAAACUGCUUUUUCUGUGGGAAGAGAACGGACGGUACCACGAGGAAGAAGCCCCGGAUAACCUACGUGCCAGCAGCCGC